UCGUCGCGUGGCGGUGACGUAAUCGCACUUAAAAUGCGUACUUCAAGCGUGCAUACCCUGAAUUGGGACACAGCCGUAGAUUUCAUCAUCUGACAGUAGGUAUGAGGGUCCGUGCCUGGCUUUUUUUUGUGUGUGUGACCGAGUUGACUUAUCAGCAAAGACUUUACAUUACAGUGAAGCAAAUAUGCAUGAAGGCAGCUGACUUCAACCAGACUGAAAAGAAGUAUAACAGGAAUCACUACUCGGUUGUCAGGUUUCCAGCUCUCCAUGUCCGUGUCUGCAACUGAAUAUAAUCGAGGCUUUGUACAAGACUACUUUUUAUUUAUUUAUUUUUAGAAGGAACAUGACCGUAUUUGGCCGGGAGGAUAAAGGUGUGGCGUUAACAGCUAAUGCUAGCACUAGCUUGCUCACGAGGCAGCCAAAUGCUGGACAACAUGAAAUCUUAGUUGUAGUCGGGAGAAGGUCACUGCCUGCCACAUCUUAUGAGUUGAUGGUUGAGUAGAGAGAAGUGUUCUUUCAUGCCAGAGGAAUGCUGUUCCUGACAAGUACACAGGCAGGACUGUGCUUUUGUUGAAGAAUCUGCAGAGGAUUCCUAGAACUGCAGGAUAUGGACUUAGCAGCAGAAAACCAUCAACUCGUGAGUGACCAAAUCCUUAUAGUGUGAAUUAGACUAUGUCAGGAGGGUUGGGGAAAACCUCCGAGUAGCAGAGGGGAAUGUAUAGGAUCUGGAAUCAUUUUAAACUGUAAUAUAAAGAAUGAGAAAAUGACCACUUUGAUGAUCUGUUUGAUAAGCAACUGAUAUGAAAUCCCAUCUGGAU